UAGGGAAUCUUCCGCAAUGGGCGAAAGCCUGACGGAGCAACGCCGCGUGAGUGAUGAAGGUCUUCGGAUCGUAAAACUCUGUUAUUAGGGAAGAACAAAUGUGUAAGUAACUAUGCACGUCUUGACGGUACCUAACCAGAAAGCCACGGCUAACUACGUGCCAGCAGCCGCGGUAAUACGUAGGUGGCAAGCGUUAUCCGGAAUUAUUGGGCGUAAAGCGCGCGUAGGCGGUUUUUUAAGUCUGAUGUGAAAGCCCACGGCUCAACCGUGGAGGGUCAUUGGAAACUGGAAAACUUGAGUGCAGAAGAGGAAAGUGGAAUUCCAUGUGUAGCGGUGAAAUGCGCAGAGAUAUGGAGGAACACCAGUGGCGAAGGCGACUUUCUGGUCUGUAACUGACGCUGAUGUGCGAAAGCGUGGGGAUCAAACAGG
rnacentral:rRNA from 1 species